UACGGAGGAUGCAAGCGGUAUCCGGAAUUAUUGGGCGUAAAGCGUCCGCAGGUGGUGGUUCAAGUCUGCUGUCAAAGCGUGGAGCUUAACUCCAUACAGGCAGUGGAAACUGAAUGACUAGAGUUCGGUAGGGGUAGCGGGAAUUCCCAGUGUAGCGGUGAAAUGCGUAGAUAUUGGGAAGAACACCGGCGGCGAAAGCGCGCUACUGGGCCGAGACUGACACUGAGGGACGAAAGCUAGGGGAGCGAAAGGG
rnacentral:rRNA from 1 species